rnacentral:rRNA from 1 species
GGAUUGCCUUAGUAACGGCGAGUGAAGCGGCAAAAGCUCAAAUUUGAAAUCUGGUACCUUCGGUGCCCGAGUUGUAAUUUGGAGAGGGCAACUUUGGGGCCGUUCCUUGUCUAUGUUCCUUGGAACAGGACGUCAUAGAGGGUGAGAAUCCCGUGUGGCGAGGAGUGCGGUUCUUUGUAAAGUGCCUUCGAAGAGUCGAGUUGUUUGGGAAUGCAGCUCUAAGUGGGUGGUAAAUUCCAUCUAAAGCUAAAUAUUGGCGAGAGACCGAUAGCGAACAAGUACAGUGAUGGAAAGAUGAAAAGAACUUUGAAAAGAGAGUGAAAAAGUACGUGAAAUUGUUGAAAGGGAAGGGCAUUUGAUCAGACAUGGUGUUUUGUGCCCUCUGCUCCUUGUGGGUAGGGGAAUCUCGCAUUUCACUGGGCCAGCAUCAGUUUUGGUGGCAGGAUAAAUCCAUAGGAAUGUAGCUUGCCUCGGUAAGUAUUAUAGCCUGUGGGAAUACUGCCAGCUGGGACUGAGGACUGCGACGUAAGUCAAGGAUGCUGGCAUAAUGGUUAUAUGCCGCCCGUCUUGAAACACGGACCUCCUGUGUGAAGU